GUGACACCGUUUCUAUGUUGUUUCUGAUUAAUCUUGCCCAUUGACAGUCUUUGUUAAACAACAAGGCGUGCCCUUCCCCAACGAGGCGACAUUUUCAUAUUUGUUAGACGCAGUGACCUGAAGCUCACCCCGGACUUGGACUUCGGUUUUCCAGGGUCUACUCGACUCUGGGUAGAUUACGGAGCACUUAGCACCAGUCAGCACCUAACAGCGCCCCAAAAAUAUAUUUUUUAAAACCAGUACAAAACCCACGAUAAAGCGUAGGUCCAUCUGAAAAAGCCUUGCGUCGACUGUGCCACUCCUGUAGGUAAUGUUAGCCAACUAAACUGAAGUUUCGGUGUCUCCUGGUCAAUGUUUUCUUUAGAAUAGUAUAAAUAUGUAUAUGUGUUGAAUUUGUUUCACAUUGUUAGGCUUCUGUUAAUGUUUCUCACCUAGGCUCAUGUUUUUCCUGUUCAAACAAGGUCCUCCUCGGAGCUUUGUAUGUGUAAGCCAUCGCUAUGGGAUUUUCAUUUUAGUCAGAUAUAGGCCUAUAUGGCCUUUUAAGCAUCUAAAUAGCCAAAGUUGUUAGGUGUUAUAUUACAAUUGAGUGUAUUUUACACCUGUAACUCAUCGUGAAUGACAAGGGGAAUCUUUUUUGUUGUUGAGGAUCUGGCCUCCAGAACGCAUGUAACCAAGACCACCUGAGGGUCUAUCUAUCAGCAUAAUGUCCACGAUCCCUUGUCUGUUAGGAGGACCAGGCUGCAGAGGACAAUGUUCCCUCAGUAUUCACGAGGCGGUUAAGCAGAAGGAGAGAAAGACUACAUAUUUUAAAGGAGUCCGGGGGCUCCAUUUGGGGGGCUGUGGGCAUAGUCUACCCAUCAUCCUGUGACCGGGCAGCUGGCUGCAGGUGACACUGAACUUGGCCUAAAGCGAGCUCUGCUGGUGGCUGGAGGAUGCAGAUUUAUCUUGCUGCUAUGGCUGACCUCGCGGUGAACCGCGCACGGGGGAUGGUUAAUUUUUUUCUGCCUGGCAUUGUCUGCCUAGGACCCCGAUUUAAGAUGAUUUUAUGUGUAACAACGGUGUAAUUUUCGCCCCAGACUUCACAAUGAUAUUGGCAUAGAAUAACGGUUUCUCUUUCAUGUUCUACACCAUACAACUGUAAUGGAAAUGAAGUCCAAUUUCAUUGCAUUGGCUAUUUGUUUACAAGACGGAAUCUUCUAUGUCGACUGUUAGGGGAAGGGGGAGCGGGGAUCAACCCACCUCAAAUCAUCAGAUGAUUCAGAGUUUCAAUUCCAUCUACGUACUGACAUAUUAUACUUUGAGGGUUUAGUUUCUAUAUAAACACUUUUCAUUGCAAUUCGUUUUCUGAUGUGAAAUAGAUGAAAAUUGAAUUCACACCUCUGACGGGGAAAGUUAUGAGGUGCCUGUAAGCACCAGUUUCGUUCUAAUUGGGCGUAAUUGCAAUCUGUUCAAAUACAUAAGAGCAACACACAACAAUGGAAAUUUUGAACACACCAAAGCACUCUUAUACACAACACAUAGACCGAGCCCAUACUAGUCACUCAUCAGCACACAGCUUAUCGCAAGACUGUCGCCACAAGUAGGCCUAAACAAAAUCUACACUAUAAGCAAAACAACAAAUGAAUUAGCCUAUAACCUACUUAAUAAGAAAUGAUGAUGCAGAAACAUUUUUCUAGAAAACGAAAACAUAAUUCAAUCUAAAGGAAACUAUUGUGAUUGGGCAAAUGCGUCACAAAGUCAGACCAACACAUUUUCACAUCGAAGUCAAAGCUUUAUUGGUAUCUGAGUGUUCAUGUCUGCCCGGACGCACGCGCCCAAGCUGGGCCAUGAGGUCACCAUGAAGCAAGAGUGACACUCUCCAACUGAACUUUACAACCCAAAAACACAAAAUGACAUGGCUGACGCAAAACGGAAUUCCUUUGCAAGUGUGGCCCUGCUGUGUUUUGUCCUCCAUUGUGUUUACUCCACAGUGCGUUUGGCUGUCUUAAACCAUUUGAUCAAGUUUGGAACACAUGAGGAAACCUGACCAAAGACACACCUAGAGCUUCAAACAAAGUGUAGAACCUGUGCCUAACUUGACAAUUACACAGAUUGAAAAGCUAAAUUUACCCCAAAAGUGGUUGUAUGAUAGUUGAGUACCGUACACAAACAUAUUACAGUUUAGCAAUGACAUUGGAAACACCAUAAAACAGCUCAAAUAGCUUUAUGGCUUGUCCAGCACAUUAAUGGCUAUGAAGAGUCCAAAGAAGCCCCGUGUGUAAUACAGGAAGUGAAAAAACACGAAUUAAAAAGGAAAAGGAAUGGACAGAAGCAUAAUUAUCCCACAUGU